rnacentral:rRNA from 1 species
AGCCCGCUCGCCGGAAGACCAAGGGUUCCUGUCCAACGUUAAUCGGGGCAGGGUGAGUCGACCCCUAAGGCGAGGCCGAAAGGCGUAGUCGAUGGGAAACAGGUUAAUAUUCCUGUACUUGGUGUUACUGCGAAGGGGGGACGGAGAAGGCUAUGUUGGCCGGGCGACGGUUGUCCCGGUUUAAGCGUGUAGGCUGGUUUUCCAGGCAAAUCCGGAAAAUCAAGGCUGAGGCGUGAUGACGAGGCACUACGGUGCUGAAGCAACAAAUGCCCUGCUUCCAGGAAAAGCCUCUAAGCAUCAGGUAACAUCAAAUCGUACCCCAAACCGACACAGGUGGUCAGGUAGAGAAUACCAAGGCGCUUGAGAGAACUCGGGUGAAGGAACUAGGCAAAAUGGUGCCGUAACUUCGGGAGAAGGCACGCUGAUAUGUAGGUGAAGUCCCUCGCGGAUGGAGCUGAAAUCAGUCGAAGAUACCAGCUGGCUGCAACUGUUUAUUAAAAACACAGCACUGUGCAAACACGAAAGUGGACGUAUACGGUGUGACGCCUGCCCGGUGCCGGAAGGUUAAUUGAUGGGGUUAGCGGUAACGCGAAGCUCUUGAUCGAAGCCCCGGUAAACGGCGGCCGUAACUAUAACGGUCCUAAGGUAGCGAAAUUCCUUGUCGGGUAAGUUCCGACCUGCACGAAUGGCGUAAUGAUGGCCAGGCUGUCUCCACCCGAGACUCAGUGAAAUUGAACUCGCUGUGAAGAUGCAGUGUACCCGCGGCAAGACGGAAAGACCCCGUGAACCUUUACUAUAGCUUGACACUGAACAUUGAGCCUUGAUGUGUAGGAUAGGUGGGAGGCUUUGAAGUGUGGACGCCAGUCUGCAUGGAGCCGGCCUUGAAAUACCACCCUUUAAUGUUUGAUGUUCUAACGUUGGCCCCUGACCGGGGUUGCGGACAGUGUCUGGUGGGUAGUUUGACUGGGGCGGUCUCCUCCUAAAGAGUAACGGAGGAGCACGAAGGUUGGCUAAUCCUGGUCGGACAUCAGGAGGUUAGUGCAAUGGCAUAAGCCAGCUUGACUGCGAGCGUGACGGCGCGAGCAGGUGCGAAAGCAGGUCAUAGUGAUCCGGUGGUUCUGAAUGGAAGGGCCAUCGCUCAACGGAUAAAAGGUACUCCGGGGAUAACAGGCUGAUACCGCCCAAGAGUUCAUAUCGACGGCGGUGUUUGGCACCUCGAUGUCGGCUCAUCACAUCCUGGGGCUGAAGUAGGUCCCAAGGGUAUGGCUGUUCGCCAUUUAAAGUGGUACGCGAGCUGGGUUUAGAACGUCGUGAGACAGUUCGGUCCCUAUCUGCCGUGGGCGCUGGAGAACUGAGGGGGGCUGCUCCUAGUACGAGAGGACCGGAGUGGACGCAUCACUGGUGUUCGGGUUGUCAUGCCAAUGGCACUGCCCGGUAGCUAAAUGCGGAAGAGAUAAGUGCUGAAAGCAUCUAAGCACGAAACUUGCCCCGAGAUGAGUUCUCCCUGACUCCUUGAGAGUCCUGAAGGAACGUUGAAGACGACGACGUUGAUAGGCCGGGUGUGUAAGCGCAGCGAUGCGUUGAGCUAACCGGUACUAAUGAACCGUGAGGCUUAACCUU